rnacentral:misc_RNA from 1 species
GCAAACUUGGUCAUUUAGAGGAAGUAAAAGUCGUAACAAGGUUUCCGUAGGUGAACCUGCGGAAGGAUCAUUAAUAAGUUGGAUGGAGUGGAAACGCUCUAUAAUCUGAUUUUGUGGUAUAAAUGAAAGAAUGCUUGGGUUUAAAGAUGGUGUGUUUGUAAUGAAUGCAUCGACCCAAAACUUUUAUCAACUCUUUUAUUAUUUGACUGAAAAUAUCAAGUAACCUUAAUGGUUAAAAAAGCUUAAAUAACUUUCAACAACGGAUCUCUUGGUUCUCGCAUCGAUGAAGAACGCAGC